rnacentral:rRNA from 1 species
UACGAAGGGGGCUAGCGUUGCUCGGAAUUACUGGGCGUAAAGGGAGCGUAGGCGGACAUUUAAGUCAGGGGUGAAAUCCCGGGGUUCAACCUCGGAAUUGCCUUUGAUACUGGGUGUCUUGAGUAUGAGAGAGGUGUGUGGAACUCCGAGUGUAGAGGUGAAAUUCGUAGAUAUUCGGAAGAACACCAGUGGCGAAGGCGACGCACUGGCUCAUUACUGACGCUGAGGCUCGAAAGCGUGGGGAGCGAACAGGAUUAGAUACCCCUGUAGUCCCUGA